AAGUAAUUUCAAAAAUUUAUUUAUUUUGGUGGCAUUUUAUCUUACUAGAGGAACUUGUUUUGUAAUCGAUAAUCCACGAUAAUUUUAACUUUUUUUAAAAAUUUAUAUACCGCCAUCUAUAAGACUUAAUUUUAAAAUAUAUUCUAAACAAAAAUUAAAAAGUUAGGUCAAGGUGUAGUCCAUAUCAAAGAAAUUAAUGAGUUACUAUGAAAUGAAUUUAAGGAUUAAAUAAUAAAAAUUUUUUAUAAAAUAGGAUUUAAAAGUAAUUUAUAUUAAUUUUAAUAAUAAUCAUUUAUGAAUUAGAAAAUAAAUGUAU
rnacentral:rRNA from 1 species